rnacentral:rRNA from 1 species
UACGAAGGGGGCUAGCGUUGUUCGGAUUCAUUGGGCGUAAAGGGUGCGUAGGUGGCAUGGUAAGUCGGAUGUGAAAUCCCGGGGCUCAACCCCGGAACUGCAUUCGAUACUGCUGCGCUAGAGUACUGGAGAGGAGAUUGGAAUUUACGGUGUAGCAGUGAAAUGCGUAGAUAUCGUAAGGAAGACCAGUGGCGAAGGCGGAUCUCUGGACAGUUACUGACACUGAGGCACGAAGGCCAGGGGAGCAAACGGG